rnacentral:rRNA from 1 species
CCGGAUUUAUUGGGUUUAAAGGGUGCGUAGGCGGAUUGAUAAGUCAGCGGUGAAACUCACAGGCUCAACCUGUGCCGUGCCGUUGAAACUGUUAAUCUUGAAUGCGGAUGCUGUGGAAGGAAUGUGUAGUGUAGCGGUGAAAUGCAUAGAUAUUACACAGAACACCGAUUGCGAAGGCAUCUCACAAAGCCGUGAUUGACGCUGAGGCACGAAAGUGUGGGGAUCAAACAGGAUUAGAUACCCUGGUAGUCCACUACUGUAAACGAUGAUAACUCGCUGCCGGCGAUAUAAAGUCGGUGGCCCAGCGAAAGCGAUAAGUUAUCCACCUGGGGAGUACGACCGCAAGGUUGAAACUCAAAGGAAUUGACGGGGGCCCGCACAAGCGGAGGAACAUGUGGUUUAAUUCGAUGAUACGCGAGGAACCUUACC